ACUUAAAUUGAAGAGUUUGAUCAUGGCUCAGAUUGAACGCUGGCGGCAGGCCUAACACAUGCAAGUCGAGCGGUAGCACAGAGAGCUUGCUCUCGGGUGACGAGCGGCGGACGGGUGAGUAAUGUCUGGGAAACUGCCUGAUGGAGGGGGAUAACUACUGGAAACGGUAGCUAAUACCGCAUAACGUCGCAAGACCAAAGUGGGGGACCUUCGGGCCUCAUGCCAUCAGAUGUGCCCAGAUGGGAUUA
rnacentral:rRNA from 1 species